GAAUGCCUGCUGAAGACAAUAGGGAUACAGGCGGCUUAGAGUUGCACAUUAACUGGAGGAAGAUGGCCCUUCCUGAUACCUGGCAAGGAAUCUUUUGUAUGCAUGUUGUGAAACCUGAACCAUAUGCCAACAGCAGUCAGAAGGAAAUAGAAACUUAUCGAUGUAGUAGUCUAAAGUUGGUAGGUAUUAGGCGCAUGAAAUCUGAAACAUGUAAUGGAAGUUCUAAGGGUGAAGCUUUCAGGGUAGCUGAUCCCUUUGAUCAGAAAUUACUGUCAGGCAAAUUGGUGAAAUCAGAGCCACCAAAAGAAUUCAAAAGGAAGUCACCAGUUAUGGCAUUGGACUAUCACCAGUUGAUGUCCCCACUUGCAUGGAGUUGCCCUCAGGUAAAGCUUAAACCAGUGGUUUUGGAUUUUAAUGCUGCACAUGAUGUGAAUAUGCUUUGUGAUGAUAGUCCAGUCAUGGCUGGUAAUGCGACAAUAAGUUCAGGUGAAAGCACUCAAGGAGCCUUGGCUCCAGCCACAGUAUCAGUUCCUAGUAUAUCUUGUAAAGCUGAGGAUGUGAUCUCUGACAUUAGAAGGGAGUACUGGUAGAUUAAUAAAUUUUGUCAUGGAUAUGUCAUUGCUGUUGCAGAAGGAUGCAAUGGUGGAGACCAAAAUUCAUCAAAUUGUUCACAUGGCUUCUAAGCUGCAUGAUGAAUGUGUGGUUUCUGAUGUUAGAGAGCCCAUGGCUUGUGAUGGUCUCAUAUCAAGAUUGCACCGAAAUGGACUGCUCAGAUGGUGAGUAUAUUAUACUUCAUCUGAAUUGGUUGCUGGAGAUGAUCAUCGUUGUAUGGAUCCUCACAUAAAGAGUGUACCGUAAGUGUUGGAAGUGUUAAAGGGGCAUGCGUUUGUCUGCUGAUGGUGAUAGUAAACUUCAGCAUCCUGUGCCGCAACAUUCACAAGGAUUCAUGUGAGCUGAAGAAAAAGAGAAUAUGGAAAUGUUCACAAGGAUUCAUGUGAGCAUGAAUAAGAGAAUAUGGAAAUGCUAAAAUGCAGUGGUCAUAGUGCUACAAACUUUUGAUGGAAGUAUAGUGGAGAUGAUAGAUUUGCAUGAAUCAUCAGUAAGAGAUUUACUAAACCUUCUAGGGGUUCAGAGAUGAAGUCCAAGUUCAUCAAACCACCUAUAGUGCAAUUGCAAAAAGUAGCGAGGAUUAGAAAGUGAACAUUGGAGAUGCCGUCGUGUCUUUGAGCAUUCAGAACUGCAAGAACGAGAUUUAGAUGCAAGUGGCAGUAAUCAUGUUGACGAUGGGGGUAGGCAUGGACAAAUCAAGAAGGCAAGCUUACCUGCUUUUAGUUGGAUAUUUGGUCAGAGUUGCAUCAGGAUUCAAUAUUUAUGAUCUGCAGUGGCCAACGGAUUGUAAGGUAAUAGUUCUCAGCUGUUGUUGCUGCUGCUAUGAUCUUAGUUUUUGUUUUGACAUAUAUGGUUUUUCUUCAUCCAUAGUUUAGGCCUUCGGAAUCUGUACUUUGGUGGUGAUUUCAAUACUCUUCAUCGAACAUUUCAGAAGCUCAGCAAAAAAUUUCAAACCUGCAUUUCUGUUCUUCGACAUGCUGUUGCUGAUGUGGUUUUUGGGGUUCUAUGUCUAUGAUUUGGUAAAACUUUUUGUGAUCUUUUGAAGGAGAUGAGUUGUGUAUUUUAGCAUGUGGACUCUGUAGAGAUACCUGUUUUUGCAUUA